rnacentral:rRNA from 1 species
UGGGGAAUUUUGCACAAUGGGGGCAACCCUGAUGCAGCGACGCCGCGUGAUUUAGAAGGCCUUCGGGUUGUAAAAAUCUUUUGUAUAGGAAGAAAAUGACAGUACUAUACGAAUAAGGUCCGGCUAAUUACGUGCCAGCAGCCGCGGUAAUACGUAAGGACCGAGCGUUGUCCGGAAUCAUUGGGCGUAAAGGGUACGUAGGCGGUUAAAAAAGUUAGAAGUGAAAGGCUAUAGCUCAACUAUAGUAAGCUUUUAAAACUGUUUAACUUGAGAGAUGGAAGGGAAAGUGGAAUUCCUAGUGUAGCGGUGAAAUGCGCAGAUAUUAGGAGGAAUACCGGUGGCGAAGGCGACUUUCUGGUCAUUAUCUGACGCUGAGGUACGAAAGCGUGGGUAGCAAACAGG